rnacentral:rRNA from 1 species
AUGGCGCCCCCCGCCGUUCCCGUCCGGCACUCCGCCCUGACGGGCUCCCCGCGCUCCGCCCACCCGGACUGGGUCUUACUCAACAAGACGGGCCGCAUCUCCGACGACCGGAACGAGACCACCGCCGAGUGCCGCACUCCGGAGGGCCAGGCCGUCGAGGUGUCCUUCUGCCUCGCCGACCCGCCGGCCGUCUCCCACUUCUCCGUCCACUGCCUCGGCCUCGAGGGCGACGGCUACUCCGACACCGCGCCCCUGCUCAUCUGCGCCGAGGGACCCUUCGUGCUCUUCUGCGUCACCCUCAACGUCCCCGAGCGGGGCUCCGUCCACCACUUCGUCUACUCCGCCCGCGGCCCAUCAGAUAAGCGCCCGUCACUGCACCUGCUUCCCGAACCGGACGACGCUCAGAUCCAGGUGUUCCGGUCCCAGCAGUUUGGCAUCUUGCCCUGCGGCGGCGGCCACUUCGCCGUGGCUUUCCUCGAUCGGGUUUGCCCUAUCAACUGCUGGAGGUAUCACGCCUACGUCUUCUCCUCCACCACACGGGCAUGGAGCAGAACCAAGCCGUCUAUGCCGCCGGACUUGUCCCAGUCCGACCAAGUGUUGCUCGAUAGACAUCGCAGCUGCAAACAGAUCACUGUCGGAGCAAGCUCGCUGGGCUGGGUUGAUCUCUUGGGCGGCGUUCUGCUACUCUGCAACCUCUUCGACAAGCGUCCCGCCAUCGAGUACAUCCCGUUCCCUGCGUCCAGGGUUCCUCUCGCCGACGAGGACAGUGUCGCGGACAUUGCUGCUGCUGCGGAGCAAUUAUGCGAAGACUGCUGCGGCCACCUGAUUAGGUACAUCCGCAGAGACCUGAUCAAGUACAUCCCGUUCCCCGCAUCCUGGGUUCCCCUCGCCGACGAGGACGGUGACGCGGACAGCGCUGCGCGGCACUUCUGCGAUGGCUGCUGCGCAAUGAACUACAUCCCGUUACUCGCGUCCAGGGUUCCCCUCGCCGACCAGGACGGCAUCGCCAGCAUCGCUGCGGAGCACUUAUGCGACGUCUCCUGCUGCGGCGACCUCAUCAAGUUUGUCCAGAUAGAUUUCGAUAAACCUGAUUACGGAAGCGGUGGUGUAACUUGGAAAGCCACCACAUGGAAUAGGAAGCUCUCUUGGUGUUCUUGGCGCGACGGCCACACGGUUGAUGUCGCUGAAAUCUCGGUCGACACAAGUCGUUAUUCCGCUCUAUUGCCUGAGAGUCUGAAUGAUGAGACCAAACAAUUGGAACUGAAGAAUCUCAUUUUCAUUAACCCCACCCUGAGCAUCCAAGAUGACCAUCUUCUCUACAUAAGGGCCAAGGUAAAGGCUCAAGAUGACACGGCAUGGGUCCUCGCUCUCGACAUGAAACAUGCCUCUCUCAAAGCACUAGUCCCAGUUUCCACCCAACCCUUAUGUGGUGUAACCAUGUACUCUCCAUGCGCCUUCCCCAAGUACUACCUCCACAACAUGCCAGCAGAGGCGGACAUGGCCAAACCAGUGGUCAGGCAUGUAUACGUCACAGCAGAUAAAAAAUCUCGCAGGAGGCAGCAACGGAUACUCAACCCCAAUAGCUCUCGACGGAAUCUGGUGGCAUGGGCUGAGCGAGCUGGAGACCAAGAGCGAGCUUCAGUUCUUGAAUUCCUGCUUCUGCAUCGCCGCAACAUUAACUUCUUUGUCUUCAUAGUAGUACUGAUCAUGGCAAAAGUGUUGUCUUAUAUCUACUCUUGA